UACGUAGGCAGCGAGCGUUGUUCGGAGUUACUGGGCGUAAAGAGUGCGUAGGCGGUUUUCUAAGUUUGGUGUGAAAUCCCUCGGCUUAACCGGGGAACUGCGUCUGAUACUGGAUGGCUUGAGUUUGGGAGAGGGAUGCGGAAUUCCAGGUGUAGCGGUGAAAUGCGUAGAUAUCUGGAGGAACACCGGUGGCGAAGGCGGCAUCCUGGACCAACACUGACACUGAGGAGCGAAAGCCAGGGGAGCAAACGGG
rnacentral:rRNA from 1 species